rnacentral:rRNA from 1 species
UACGUAGGGGGCAAGCGUUGUCCGGAAUCAUUGGGCGUAAAGAGCGUGUAGGCGGCCCGGUAAGUCCGCUGUGAAAGUCCAGGGCUCAACCCUGGAAUGCCGGUGGAAACUGUCGGGCUAGAGUCCGGAAGAGGCGAGUGGAAUUCCUGGUGUAGCGGUGAAAUGCGCAGAUAUCAGGAGGAACACCAAUGGCGAAGGCAGCUCGCUGGGACGGUACUGACGCUGAGACGCGAAAGCUAGGGGAGCAAACAGG